CUGAAAGAUAGUCGAGCCGGAUAUUGGAUACCGGUUUAAGCCCGUAGGGAGACUCGUUAGGAGGCCUAGUGCCACAAACGGCGAGUCAAUCCUGAGAGGUGAUGAGGAGGGCGCUUGCGCCCAUAAACUCGAUGAUUCUCAGCUCUCGAGAAAAGCUUCGAUAGAGUCAACCGCUGAUGUGACCGUACCGCAAACCAACACAGGUGGGCGGGGAGAAUAUCCCAAGGCGCUUGAGAGAACCCUGCUUAAGGAACUCGCAAAAUGACACCGUAACUUCGGGAGAAGGUGUGCCCUCACUACGUGAUCCGCGAACGCGGGGAGCGGAAGGGGGUUGCAGAGAAUCGGGGGUAGCGACUGUUUAACAAAAACACAGCACUCUGCGAAGUCGCAAGACGACGUAUAGGGUGUGAUGCCUGCCCGGUGCUGGAAGGUUAAAGAGAGAACUCAGCCGCAAGGCAAAGGUUCGAACUGAAGCCCCAGUAAACGGCGGCCGUAACGAUAACGGUCCUAAGGUAGCGAAAUUCCUUGUCGGGUAAGUUCCGACCUGCACGAAUGGCAUAACGACUUCCCCACUGUCUCGAGCAGGGACUCAGCGAAGUAGCACUAGGGGUGAAGAUACCCUUUUACCCACGGCAGGACGGAAAGACCCCGUGAACCUUCACUACAGCUUGACAUUGAUUGACGAAGUUGUUUGCGUAGUCUAGGUGGGACGCUUUGAAGCGAGGACUCCGGUCUUUGUGGAGCGGCAAUAUGAAAAACCACCCUGAUAACUUUGGCAAUCUAACCUACACCCGUGAGCCGGGUGGGGGACACUGUCUGGUGGGUAGUUUGACUGGGGCGGUCGCCUCCCAAAAAGUAACGGAGGCGCGCGAAGUUCCCCUCAGCCUGAUUGGAAACCAGGCGCUGAGUGUAAACACAUAAGGGGGAUUGACUGCGAGUCCGACGAGACGAGCAGGUACGAAAGUAGGUGUUAGUGAUCCGGUGGCUCCACAUGGAAGGGCCAUCGCUCAACGGAUAAAAGGUACUCCGGGGAUAACAGGCUUAUCACGUCCAAGAGUUCACAUCGACGACGUGGUUUGGCACCUCGAUGUCGGCUCAUCGCAUCCUGGGGCUGAAAUCGGUCCCAAGGGUUUAGCUGUUCGCUAAUUAAAGCGGUACGCGAGCUGGGUUCAGAACGUCGUGAGACAGUUCGGUCCCUAUCCGCCGUGGGCGCAGGAUACUUGAGAGGAGCUGACUUUAGUACGAGAGGACCGAGUUGGACAGACCUAUGGUGUUCCGGUUAUGGCGCCAGCCGUAUCGCCGGGUAGCUAUGUCUGGAAGGGAUAACCGCUGAAAGCAUCUAAGCGGGAAGCCCACCUCAAGAUUAGGUAUCCCAAAUGCCGUCAAGGCACCAGAAGACCCCGCGUAGACUACGCGGUUGAUAGGCGCGGUGUGGAAAAGCAGCAAUGCUUGUAGCUAACGCGUACUAAUCGGUCGGGCGGCUUGACCAC
rnacentral:rRNA from 1 species